GUGCAGCAGUCGAGAAUACUUUACAAUGUGCGAAAGCACGAUAAGGGAACUCUGAGUGCCUCCUAAGGAGGCUGUUCAGGUGUCUAAAAGCACCUGAAGGAAGGGCUGGGUAAGACCGGUGCCAGCCGCCGCGGUAACACCGGCAGCCCAAGUGGUAGCCACGUUUAUUGGGUCUAAAGCGUCCGUAGCCGGCUGGGUAAGUUCCUUGGGAAAUUUGGCUGCUUAACAGUCAAGCUUUCAGGGAAUACUGCCCGGCUUGGGACCGGGAGAGGUCAGAGGUACUCCAGGGGUAGGGUGAAAUCCAUUAAUCCUUGGGGGACCACCGGUAGCGAAGGCGUCUGACCAGACCGGGUCCGACGGUGAGGGACGAAGGCUAGGGGCGCGAACCGGAUUAGAUACCCGGGUAGU
rnacentral:rRNA from 1 species